UACGUAGGGUGCAAGCGUUGUCCGGAAUUAUUGGGCGUAAAGAGCUCGUAGGUGGCGGGUCACGUCGGGUGUGAAAGCCCGGGGCUUAACCCCGGGUCUGCAUUCGAUACGGGCCUGCUAGGGUCCGGCAGGGGAGACUGGAAUUCCUGGUGUAGCGGUGAAAUGCGCAGAUAUCGGGAAGAACACCCGUGGCGAAGGCGGCUCUCUGGGACGGUACUGACGCUGAGACGCGAAAGCGUGGGGAGCGAACAGG
rnacentral:rRNA from 1 species